ensembl:lncRNA
ACUGCAAGGUUCACAUACACAAUAGUUUAUGAAGAAAUAGUGUUUUCCAUUUAUUGCAGGUAUGAAGCUGUGAAGGGCCUGGAGCAUAUGUCUUAUGGGGAGCAGCUGAGGAAGCUGGGAUUGCUCAGUCUGGAGCAGAGGAGGCUCAGGGGAGACCUCGUUGCUCUCUACAACUCCUGAAAGGAGGAUGUGGUGAAGUGGGGGUUGGCCUCUGCCCCCAGGUAAGAGUGAUAGGACAAGAGGUGACGGCUUCAAGUUGUGCCAGAGGAGGUUCAGGUUGGAUAUUAGGAAACAUUUCUUCUCAAAUUGGUGAGAUAUUGGAGUGGGCUGCUCAGGGAGGUGGUGGAUCACCGUCCCUGGAAGUGUUCAAGAACAAUGGAGAUGUGGCAGUGAGGGCAGCCCAGGAUGAUGGCUGGACUAGAUGACCUUGGUGGUCUGUCCAACCUUAAUGAUUCUAUGAUUCUCCAAUCCGCCAGAAGCAGCUGCAGCUCUUGCACAGGCAAAUGAACUUGUGAUCUCACAUCAUGGGAGCACCUACGGAAUACAUACACAGAUUUUCUUCUUUAAAGCUAAGGGCGGUGCCUGAGGGCGGGGGUGCCGCUGCCCUCCCCGCGCUGAGGGGGCCGCGCAGCCGGCGGCCUAGCAUAAUACAGCAUAGCACAGCGUAGCACAACAUAGCAUAGCACUGCACUGCACUGCACUGCACUGCACUGCACUGCACAGCACAGCAGCCCGCGCCCCCGGGGAGCUGCGGGCGAGGGCGGGCGGCCCCCCUCCCCUGCCUCCCCGCCCCUGCCCUGCAUUGGCUGCGGGCGGCUGACGGGCAGCCGGGGAGGCCCCUGUCAGCCGGCCGCGGAGGGGCAUGCCUGCACUGGGGGUCCAGCCGCGCCGAGCCGAGCCGUGCCCAGGGCUGCCGAGCGGAGCCCAGCGCCGAGAUGGGGGUGGAGAUCGAGACCAUCUCUCCGGGAGACGGACGGACGUUCCCGAAGAAGGGGCAGACGUGUGUGGUGCACUACACAGGUAAGGCGUGUUCUGGUUGUUGUGUCCAUGCCAGCUGCCUUAUGCCCAGGAGUGCUGUAUCAGUUCAAUCAUGGCUGUUGGAUUUUUUGCUUUGUGCUGCCAUUCAUAAUGGAUUUAAUUGUGUUGUGAUGGAUUUCCUGAAUGUUUGACUUGUAGUUCAGGCUGCAGUAUCUAGAUGUGUGUGCUAGUGAAUUUGUCAGGAGUGGUGUUUAGUGGGGACAAGUUGACAGAUGAAUCUGCAGACCCGAUUCUUUAAGUCAUUCCAUGAGCAAAUGAAAUCGAGCAUGAAGCAGUGCAAAUGCCAGGUUUGUAUUUUUCCAGUCUCUGAUCUUGAUACAGACAAUUAAUGAUUGUUUAUAUCUUAAAAGAAUCCGUGUAUUGGCAGUAGAAUUCAUUCCAGUUUGAAGAGAUCAAUUCAAGGUCUGCUUAACACCUGCUUUAUGGGUGUGCAUGAAUCUUAAGCGGUGAGUUAGCUGAUGGAGCUGUUUAUGCUGCACCUUUGCACAGAGGGAAAAUGUCCUUUAAAUCAGUUUGCAGUGUUGUCUUUUGUAUUUAGUUAUGUAAAUCGUCCAAAAAAGACUUCUGCAGCCCGAAAGCUGCCAUUUCAUGAGGUCUUUUCCUUAGAAUGUAAAACAUCACUAUUUUCACUAGAUACAAUUAAUGAAGNGACAGAGGAACAGGUUGCCCAGUGAGGCUGUGGAUGCCCCCUCCACGGAAGCACUGAAGGCCAGGCUGGAUGGGACUUUGAGCAACCUGGUCUAGGGGGUCCCUGCCUAUAGCAGGGGGUUGGAACUAGAUGGUCUUAAAGGUCCCUUCCAACCCAAACCAUUCUAUGAUUCUAUGAGAGUCAAAUAAGGGAGUGGGCUUUGGGCUCUAUUUUGCCUUACUUCCCCAUCUUGCCUUCCCUCGAGUCCCAUAGAUGCCCAUUCUCCAUGGGAUGAGGAGUGAUGGCAGAGAGAGCACAGGCAGGAGCAGGCUACUACUGCAAAAGUGAAAGGCCUGUGAAUUGAUUCUGAAACACAUCUGGGAGAAAGGGUUUUAGGAGCAAGCUGUCUGUAUGAGUUGUCCUGACAGUCCAUCUGCAGCAGGUGAGAGGCUGAGCAUCCCAGUGCAAUGCAGCAAAUGUCCAGAGAGGACCACAGUCUGUUAUCCUCCAUAUUUGGCAGAGCUUCACAGUCCUGGCUGGUCACCCUCUGUAUUGUUUGAUUCGUGCACCUUCAAGGUAGAGAUUCACCAGAGGAGUUUCUAGUCUGACAACCCUGAGAACAGGGAAGUGAGAACUGGAAUCUCCUCCAGAUGAGGGAGAACUGUGAGUUUUACACUUUUUCUGCCAGUACUUCAGCUAUCAGGCUGUUACAUGUGGCAGCUUUGCCUCUUUCUCUCCAAUUAGAUGCAUAACCCCAGGAGCAGGCAUUGUGGUCUGACUCACAAACACAUUGUGAUGCCUCGAUGAACAAGACUAAGUUCCAGUGGCAGCAGGAGGUAAGGUGCAACUUCAUUAGGGAACAGAUUAGAAGGAACAUCCUGUUUAAGCAAAUAUUUUUUUUCUUCCUCCCUUAGGAGUAACUCCUGGCUGUGUUCAAUUAGAGCAGGAUUUUUGGAUUACCCUUCAGGAGUACCUAAUUGCCCUUCCAUAAGGCGCCUUAGAGCCUAACUUGGUACUGUAAAUCACCUGCUAAUUUUUCAGCUUGGCACAGCCUUAGUUAAGUACACAAAUAGGUGAUUAGAUAGGAAGACUGGGAGAGAAUAUGAAACCGGGUCCUGAUCUUUUUCUGUGACGAGAAUAUGCUCAGAUCUCCAUAUCUUUGUUAAGAAAUAUAACUAAUAUAACCAUUUUUUUUUGAUCAUCCAGCAUCUACAUUGUGUCUCAAAAGCAACCUGACACAGCAAAGUAAUGAGAUUAGUGGAUAUGGCAGUGAGUUGGCACCGAAAUGCAUUUCCAGCAGCGAUGGUUUAUGUCAUGCUUUUGUCAUAGAUUUCCUUGAGCAAGCUUCUGAAAGCUUUUGGCAGUCUGCUCACUCCUUCUGUUUUCUGUCUGCAAAAUGAUUGUAGUACUUUGUCUGCCUUGUGGAGAUAGAUUGCCAGCAAUUUGGGGUAUGGACUGCCUCCUUCCUCGUGCCUAAUGUAAUGGCCUCCUAAUCUUGAUUGGGUCUUCGGGUUAUGUUGCAGCAGUGAUAGCAAUGCCAGUAAACAAAUUACAGUAUCAUUAGUCCUGGAGUGUAUCAACAGAGCUGAGCCAUUUGCUGCUGUUUUCUUUCCUGUGAUUUUUAAAUUUAUUGACUCUGGGAGCAGGAAUCAGCAGUGCCGAAUUUUCAAAGAUUGGUGAAGAUGAUGCAGCCUGUGGCUUUUGGUGAGAAAUGGCCCUGAAGAUGACAGAAUCUUUGCUGGGCUUGUGAGCGUUUUGACUGUGUGGUCAAACCUUCAUCCUGGGAAGGUGAUUUCUGGCCCUCCUGCUCUUGGUGGUGUGCCCUCAAAGCAUAGAAUCAUAGAAUCAUAAGGUUGAAAAGGACCUGCAAGAUCAUCUAAUCCAACCGUCCUCCCAUUACNCCAUUCCCCCUUGUCCUAUCACUAUCCACCCUCAUGAACAGCUGUUCCCCUUCCUGAACUGACAUUCUCUGGUAGUUUGUGGUAAAGGUGAAUUCGUAACCUUGUCUUUGUCCUCCUUGCCCACAUGUGUAUCUGUGUUAAUGCAAUUACCCUCUUAAAGAAGAAACUGGACAUUCAGCAUUUGUAGUGUGCUGCAACAGAUCUCUUGGAGUAAGACCAUCAAGGCACAUUAAAUCAUUAAUUACUAAACCAAACUUCUAUAAAAGAAGGUUUUCCUUGGACUUCUUAGGUCCAGGCAGUGACCACAAAAUUACACUAUACACUAAGAAAUUGAUUUUAUGUUAUUCCCUAUUCGAGUGUUAGAAUACUACUCCAUUUACUUCAGAUAUGCUGUACAGAUGGAUUCUGUCUUAGGAAGCAGAACAAAAGAUGACUUGUUCUUUUCCUAACCAUCUGGGGACAGGCUCGGAUCUUCUUUUUUCCACGUGUUACCAAAUUGUUUUGUGUUAUUUAUUUUUGUUUCUUCAGCUUUGCCAGUGCUGUGAUGCUGUGAGAGUUAUGCUUGCAUCUGUGUAGUUGAAAGCCUUUUCUUUUUAAUACCUUUUUUAAUAACAAAAGCAGACUGCAUAGAUUUAUAGAACAUGCCUGAUUUACUGUGAUGUAAAAUGCAUCUCCACUUAACUCGAUACAAACAUAAUGCAAUUCCUUUGCAAUAACACUUGCCAAAAAGAAAAGAGAUCUGCCUCUAUUUCUUGGAUCGAAAUCAACCCAGCGUAAAACGUAUGCAGUAAUAGCCAGACAUUUGCCAAAAUGCUCUCAAAGAGACUGAUGUAAAUCCAGAAUAACAUUGCAGAGUGUCAUAUACUCAUCUAUGAACCUAGGUAUCUGUAUGGUUGGUGUACACCAGCUUAGUGUGGGAGUGCUUUGUGCCAGGUGAGCAUAGGGUUGUGCUACUUUUCUGGUCCCAUGUUCUGAAAAAUCUGCACAACUUCUGUGAGACCCAGAUAAAUCUGUGAGGAAACGACAGAAGGAAUUCAAUCAAAAUUAUUUGUCUCCAGAAAACUGUCUUGGUGGUUUUGGGAGAAAUAGUGAACAACACAAUUAGAGCUAUGAUUAAGAAGAACUGUAUUUUAACAGACACUAUAAUUGAGUCUUGAAUUAGAGCCAGCUAAAUCUUGCUUACCUAGAAAGAAUGUAAUUGUUUUAUCGAGCACGUUCACAAGAUACAUUCUUCCAGGAGAGUCAGAUGUCUGUCCAUCCUUUGGGGCCUGCCAAUGCCUGGAUGUUUUUGACUUGAAGCAAUCUCUCCAAAUUGCC